rnacentral:sRNA from 1 species
UGUCUAGAAGUGGUGCGACUCUGCCCCGU